UUGCAAACUCGAUCACUAGCUCUGUAUGAUGUUGCAGAAGCAAGGGGAACAGGUUUGCUAAAGUAUACAUGGUAACAGAACCUUAUUAGCCUUAGAAAUCACGACUGGGGUUGUUAAUUCUGUACCAUGACAAGG
rnacentral:snoRNA from 1 species